GAUGAAGAACGUAGCGAAAUGCGAUAAGUAGUGUGAAUUGCAGAAUUCAGUGAAUCAUCGAGUCUUUGAACGCACAUUGCGCCCCCUGGUAUUCCGGGGGGCAUGCCUGUCCGAGCGUCAUUGCUGCCCUCAAGCACGGCUUGUGUGUUGGGCCCCCGUCCCCGGUUUCCCCCGGGGACGGGCCCGAAAGGCAGCGGCGGCACCGCGUCCGGUCCUCGAGCGUAUGGGGCUUUGUCACCCGCUCUGUAGGCCCGGCCGGCGCCAGCCGACACCCAACUUUAUUUCUAAGGUUGACCUCGGAUCAGGUAGGGAUACCCGCUGAACUUAAGCAUAUCAAUAAGCGGAGGA
rnacentral:misc_RNA from 1 species